rnacentral:rRNA from 1 species
AUGGUUGCUGACCUUGGUCAUCUUGCCCGAGCAGCUGCAGCAAUACUUUGUAUGUUGAUUUUUCAUGUAGCACCAUCUGAUUCACAUGCUCAAGCUAGGGUAUCAGUUGGGACUAGGACCUGCAUCAGCAGGGAGCGGGAUGCGCUCCUGUCCUUCAAGGCAGAUCUUCUGGACCCUGCUGGCCGUCUCUCGUCCUGGCAUGGUGAAGAUUGUUGUCAGUGGGAGGGAGUCUGGUGCAACAGCAGAACAAGCCAUGUUGUCAAGCUCGACCUCCGCAACAUGCUUGUCGAUGACAACAACAGCCUGAGCCUGUCAAGCUAUGAGAUGAGCCCCUCUUUGUCUACUUUGCAACAGUUAAGGUAUCUUGAUCUUAGUGGGAAUUACUUCAACGGCACUAGCAUACCUGUGUCCAUGGGCUCCCUAGAGAAUCUAAGGUAUCUCAACCUCUCAUCGUCAUGUUUCGGUGGGAUAAUACCUUCCCAACUCGGCAAUCUCUCAAAUUUGAAAUAUUUAGAUGUUCUUGGGUUCUACGGUGACCUGCAAGCAGUGGAUCUUGCAUGGUUGUCACGUCUAUCACGGUUGACUUAUCUUGACUUGAGCCAAGUGAACCUCCAUGAUGCGCGGGAUUGGGUCCACAUAGUUAACAUGCUUUCUUCUUUGGAAGUGCUUCGCUUAAGAUUUUGUAACCUAAUUGCCAGUAGUACAGUGUCUUCUUCUUCAAAAUCAAACCUCACGCAUCUCCAGGUCCUCGAUCUAUCAGGCAACUUGUUUGACACACCACUAGAACACAACUGGUUUUGGUUUCUCACAAGCCUUAAGGAACUUCACCUCUAUUCUUGCAAAUGGCAUGGAUCUAUUCCCGAAGAGCUGGGAAACAUGACAUCCCUUGAAGUCAUUGAUUUUAGUGAAAAUUAUAUCGUGGGUUUGAUACCAAGCAACUUAGAAAAAUUGUGCAAUUUGCAAGUGCUGCACUUUGAAGAUAACAACAUUCAAGCGAGCAUAGGGGAGUUCAUGGAUCGAUUGCCAAGGUGUACAUGGAAUGCAAUACAAGUAUUGUCAAUGCAUAAUACAAAUAUGAUUGGAAAACUACCAAUCUGGAUUGGGAACAUGACAAGUCUCAUUGCUCUUGAUGCCAGUUAUAACAUGAUAACCGGUACUGUACCACUCGGAGUUGGAGCACUUGGUAACUUGACAAUGUUGGAUCUCAGUUACAAUAAACUCGAUUGUGUGCUCAUCAAGGAACAUUUUUCAGACUUACUGAGUUUAGAGUCUCUGGACUUAUCAUAUAACUCCUUGAAAAUGGAUAUUGAACCAAAUUGGGUUCCUCCGUUUAGAUUAAAGGACCUAAACUUCCAGUUUUGCCCAGUGGGCCCCCAUUUUCCAGAGUGGCUUAGAUGGCAGACUGACAUUGAUUUUCUUUUUCUUGGAAAUACAAAUAUGGAUGAUGUUAUUCCUAAUUGGUUCUGGGUGACAUUUUCCCGUGCUUCAUGGUUGGAUGCAUCAGAAAACAUGUUGCGUGGUUCAUUACCGGCAAAUUUACAACACAUAUCAGCUAAUCGUAUAUAUCUGGGGUCCAAUAAGUUAGCAGGUCUAGUUCCACGGCUCCCGAUAAAUAUAUCACAUCUGAAUCUGUCUUCAAACUCUUUCUCGGGGUCAUUGCCAUCAGAGCUAAAAGCUCCACUACUUCAGGAGUUGUUGCUCGGAAAUAAUCAAAUUACAGGCAGCAUUCCGUCAUCUAUGUGCAAGUUGACUGGCCUGAGACGGUUGGAUCUAUCGGGAAACAAUUUAACAGGAGAUGUUAUGCAGUGCUGGAAGGAGUCAGAUAACAAUUCUUCGGUGUUCACCUUAAACUCUACAGGUCAAUUUGGUUCUAGCAUGUAUAGUCUAGCCUUGAGCUACAACGCUCUAUCAGGUGAAUUCCCCAAAGUUCUUCAGAGUGCCUCACAAUUGAAGUUCCUUGAUCUUUCAUACAAUAGAUUCUUUGGAACAUUGCCAAAGUGGUUACCAGAAAAAAUGCCCCAAUUGCAAAUCUUGAGGAUGAGAUCAAAUAUGUUUAGUGGUAAUAUUCCUGACAAUCUUAGUUGCCUUGAAAGUCUUCAUUAUUUGGACAUAGCCCGUAACAACCUAUCAGGAACCAUACCAUUGUCGCUAUCAGCCUUGAAAGCAAUGACACACAAAGUUUAUACUUCCGCAGAUGACUAUAUUUUUGAGGAGAGCAUACCAGUCAUCACAAAAGGCCAAACACGUGACUAUAACUUUAAAGUCUACAGGCUACUGGUGAAUCUUGAUCUGUCAUGUAACAAUUUAUUAGGACACGUUCCAGAGGAAAUAAGUUUGCUGAUUGAGCUCACCAAUCUGAACUUAUCAAGUAAUCAGUUGAUUGGCAAAAUCCCGAAUCAGAUUGGUGCUUUGAAGCAGUUAGAGUCCCUGGACCUCUCCUAUAAUGAGUUAUCUGGUGAAAUCCCAUCAAGUUUGUCGCGACUAACAUCUCUGAGCCACUUGAACCUGUCAUACAACAACUUAUCAGGCGCGGUACCACUCGGGCAACAGCUGCAGGUUCUCGACAACCUGAACUAUACCUACAUUGGCAACCCCGGUCUAUGUGGCUACCCUCUCUCUAAGAACUGCUCUGCUAGUUCUACUGAUGCAGAGCAAAGUGUCAACCAUGAAGUUACAGAUCAUAUCUCAUAUCUCUACCUUGGUAUGGGCAUAGGAUUUGUGGUCGGCCUUUGGGUGGUGUUUUGCACCAUGUUACUGAGGAGAAGCUGGGCGAUUGCCUACUUUCAGAUCAUUGACAAUCUGUAUGAUGAGCUUUAUGUGCGGGUGGCCAUAGCUUGGGCUCGGCUGAUGAAGAAGAUCCACAAGGACACAGCAUGA